rnacentral:rRNA from 1 species
AGUCAACAUGCCCAGGGGACGUGGAUAACCUCGGGAAACUGAGGAUAAACCGCGAUAGGUCAUAAUGUCUGGAAUGAUUUAUGGCUGAAAUCUACAUGGCCCCUGGAUUGGACUGCGGCCGAUCAGGCUGUUGGUGAGGUAAUGGCCCACCAAACCUGUAACCGGUACGGGCUCUGAGAGGAGGAGCCCGGAGAUGGGCACUGAGACAAGGGCCCAGGCCCUAUGGGGCGCAGCAGGCGCGGAACCUCUGCAAUAGGCGAAAGCUUGACAGGGUUAUUCUGAGUGGUUUCCGCUAAGGAAAUCUUUUGGCAUCUCUAAAAAUGGUGCAGAAUAAGGGGUGGGCAAGCCUGGUGUCAGCCGCCGCGGUAAUACCAGCACCCCGAGUGGUCGGGACGAUUAUUGGGCCUAAAGCAUCCGUAGCCGGUUCUACAAGUCUUCCGUUAAAUCCACCUGCUUAACAGUUGGGCUGCAGAGGAUACUAUAGAGCUAGGAGGCGGGAGAGGCAAGCGGUACUUAGUGGGUAGGGGUAAAAUCCGUUGAUCCACUGAAGACCACCAGUGGCGAAGGCGGCUUGCCAGAACGCGCUCGACGGUGAGGGAUGAAAGCUGGGGGAGCAAACCGGAUUAGAUACCCGGGUAGUCCCAGCUGUAAACGAUGCAGACUCGGUGAUGAAUAAGCUUCGUGCUUAUUCAGUGCCGCAGGGAAGCCGUUAAGUCUGCCGCCUGGGGAGUACGGUCGCAAGACUGAAACUUAA